GGCUCCCUCUGCUGCCCCGCACCGCGCACCGCAGCGGGGGCGGGGGGCACCGCCCGGCAGUGCCGUGAGUUUGUCGGGUCUCAGCAGCAGGGAUGGAAAAGGAGGGGCCCUGCCUGGGGAUCCCACCCCAAUCCCCGCCCCGCGGGGGAUGCUGAGCAGGCCGAGCAGGGCUGCCCGCGUUGGUGGUCCCUGGGGAGCGCUGCCAGCACCCACCCUUCCCCAGGCAGCCCUGCAGAUGAAGGCGGUGGGGUGAGGGUGCAGGGACAGUCCCCAGCCCUGCGGGACGGCGGGUCGGGCCACCCGGGUGCUGGCGUGACGCCGAGUCCCAGCAAGGGAAGGGCCCUUGACCUUGCUUGCAGCCUUCACAUGUUCUUGCAGGAAUGUGAGUGGUGCCGUGUCCCUGUGGGCAGCAGUGGCCUCGGCCACCAACGUCUCCUGCCCGCACCCUGCUCCUUAUGCACAUCCCAGCUGCCGAUGUGAAACAAAGGGAUGGGGACACGAUGGGGGCAUGCACCGUCCUUUCUGUGCUGCUGCCAUGGGCACCGGCUGCAAGAUGGCGAAGUUUGGACAGGGAUACAGGCCAAGCUGAGAGGCCUCAGCAUGGAGCAGCUCCUGGAAAUCAGGAUAUCCAAGAGAGCUCUGUCAGAUCCCACACGACCUGCUCAAGGGUUUGGAGUAUUCCUUCACACACGAAGGGAGCAGCAGCAUUGGCAUUUCCAGCAGGGAGAAGAUGCUUCAUUUGAAAACAUCCCAGUCCCCUUGGUCAUUAGCAUCUGACAUGGCUGAGAGCCACAACAGCAUUGAAUCCACGCUGGGAACUGACAGACCCCAGAGUGCAGCCCCCAUUCUCUGCUGCGCUGCCGGAGCUGGCGGGGGUGAGCAGCAGCACAGGAUGCCCACUGCAGCCUGGCUGCUGGGGCCA
rnacentral:lncRNA from 1 species